rnacentral:rRNA from 1 species
GACGAACGCUGGCGGCGUGCUUAACACAUGCAAGUCGAACGAUGAAGCCGGAGCUUGCUCUGGUGAAUUAGUGGCGAACGGGUGAGUAACACGUGAGUAACCUGCCCUUGACUCUGGGAUAACUGCGGGAAACUGUAGCUAAUACCGGAUACGACCCUCGGCGGCAUCGCCAGGGGGUGGAAAGAAUUUCGGUCAAGGAUGGACUCGCGGCCUGUCAGCUAGUUGGUGAGGUAACGGCUCACCAAGGCGACGACGGGUCGCCGGCCGGAGAGGGUGACCGGCCACACUGGGACUGAGACACGGCCCAGACUCCUACGGGAGGCAGCAGUGGGGAAUAUUGCACAAUGGGCGCAAGCCUGAUGCAGCAACGCCGCGUGAGGGAUGACGGCCUUCGGGCUGUAAACCUCUUUUAGUAGGGAAGAAGCGAAAGUGACGGUACCUGCAGAAAAAGCACCGGCUAACUACGUGCCAGCAGCCGCCGUAA